CAGCAGCCGCGGUAAUACGAAGGGUGCAAGCGUUAAUCGGAAUUACUGGGCGUAAAGCGUGCGUAGGCGGUGAGUUAAGUCUGCUGUGAAAUCCCCGGGCUCAACCUGGGAAUGGCAAUGGAUACUGGCAAGCUAGAGUGUGUCAGAGGAUGGUGGAAUUCCCGGUGUAGAGGUGAAAUUCGUAGAUAUUCGGAAGAACACCAGUGGCGAAGGCGGCUCACUGGCUCAUACUGGACGCUGAGGUGCGAAAGCGUGGGGAGCAAACAGGAUUAGAUACCCCAGUAGUCCCUGUCUCUUAUAC
rnacentral:rRNA from 1 species